GACAGAGGUGCCAAGCGUUAGGCGGAAUCACUGGGCUUGAAAGCGUGUGGUAGCGGGUGCCUAAAGUACCUUGUGAAAUCCCCCGGCUCAACCGGGGAACGGCUGGGUAUACUUGGGUGCCUUGGGUCAUCUAGGGGCUGCCGGAAACAAAUGGUGGAGCGGUGAAAUGCGGUAGAUAUCGUCUGGAAACGCCCAAAGGUGAAA
rnacentral:rRNA from 1 species